GGAGCCAGCUGCACGUGGCUUGAAAUCUCCACAAACUUAACAGAAUACCACAGAUUGGGAAACUUAUAAAGAGAAGAAAUUUACUUCUCGCAGUUCUGGAGAUGGGAAAAGUCCAACACUGAGGUACCCUGCAGUAGCAGCCCAUCAGUGACUCUUGGAACAAACAGCAAGCCGCCUGAUUUUGUUUCGGGAGAAGCACGCUGACAGUUUCUGAAGCACAUUCCACUUGAACCGGAGUCUGUUUUCCAAAGACAAAUUAUUUACCACGCCCUAGCAGGGAGAGGACAGCACGAAGCCGGUGAAAAUUCUGAUCUUCAGAAAGACAGCAGACAGUGAUGAUUUCCAAUUUCAUGCUGUUUAUAUAACGAGAACAGAGGCACAAGGAAAUACAAGCCUGAACCACUGGCAAGAACUGUGACAAACAAGAUAGAAAGGAAAAAUGAAAGUACACUGAACAACUGACCAGACCAGGUCUAGGGGGGCAAAAGAAGGGGGUUUACAGAAGCCUUCUGCACCUCUACAGAAAUAUGAUUUUAAAGUUCACAGCUGAAGCAAAAAAAAAACAUUUAAUAAAGCAGCACUUUACAACGAAAUGGAGUAUGAUUUCAUUAAUUAACAAAUGUCUGCUUCACACAAAGGACUCUAUAGUGGUAUAAAUCCUAACAGCACAUGCCUCUUCCCAAACUCCUCAAAUCUGAGGAUUAUCUACAAAAAUAAGUACUUUUCAUGCAACAGUAAUAUAAGCAAGAAGUACACAUAUAAUCCACCCAAAAGUUUUCUUUAAAAACUGCAGAAGGGUCCAGUCACAUGCAAACAUUUGCCACGCUACUUCAAAAUUAAUUUAUGUCUUUAUUGGACUUGCCUCAAAAGAGUUCUAAAAGGUGACGGCCUCAGCAAGUUCUGGAUUACGUAUCUAAGUGCUGUAAAAAAUCUAAUUCUUAAAAUAUUCUAAAGCGCAGAUUUUUGGGAAGUUUCCAUGGGUCUCCAUACCAGCAAAAUAAGUUCUACUGCAUUAUAAGUAAGUACUAUUUUAAAGCAAACUGCUUUUGGCAUAGAUAAAUGAAAACCUCAUUAUCUGAAAUUUAUGACAGGAUAUUUUUAGCCAUGGAAACAGCUGCUGGUUGUUUGAUUCCUGAGGGCCUCAGUCUUCAUUUUUAUUUAUUUCCACCACUGCCUUGUGUUGUGUUGUGUUAGUUUGUGAGUUUAUGCUGCCCAUGACUGGCAGUUCAGGCACAUUCAGGAUAGGUAAGGCUCUGCUUAGUGACUGCAGCAGCUGCCUGCCAGGCACAUUUCUCUUUGUGUUUUUCCUACAGACCUGUGGUCCCUGACCUCCUCAAAGGGAACUUCCCCCAGGGUUAAGGCAAGGAGAUGGGCUUCUUUCAUUGGUUUUGGGAAUUUCCUCUUCAACUCUGCUAACAUUCAAAGUUGGUUGUUUUAGAGUAUCACAGGUUGUUUCUGUCUGGUUCCUUCUUUUCUUUCCAUUUUUUUUGAAACAAAAAUUUAAAUGUAAAGGCAACAGGUAGCAUUUUAUUUAGAAGGAGUGUUUCUUUUUUUUAUUUAGAAGGAGUAUCUCUUGAAAAAGAUACAAAAAGACAUAGUUCACUCAAAUGAGAGAUGAAAGAAGAAACUAUGGAAAGGAAAUAAGUGUGGUCAUUUAACUGUAAAAUAAUUUAGCUACUGUCUGAAUGCUGAAAUAAAUCAGAUUAUGGACUGAAA